AACGCGAAGAACCUUACCUGGACUCGAAAUCUAGUUGACAGUCUCAGAGAUGAGAUCUUCCCGCAAGGGACGGCUGGAUAGGUGCUGCAUGGCUGUCGUCAGCUCGUGUCGUGAGAUGUUGGGUUAAGUCCCGCAACGAGCGCAACCCUCACCCUUAGUUGCUCGCCCGCAAGGGAAGCACCCUAAGGGAACCGCCUCGGAUAACGGGGAGGAAGGUGGGGAUGACGUCAAGUCCUCAUGGCCUUUAUGCCCAGGGCUACACACGUGCUACAAUGGCCGGUACAAAGCGUCGCCAACCCGCAAGGGGGAGCCAAUCGCAAAAAACCGGUCUCAGUUCGGAUUGCAGGCUGCAACUCGCCUGCAUGAAGCUGGAAUCGCUAGUAAUCGCGUAUCAGAACGACGCGGUGAAUACGUUCCCGGGCCUUGUACACACCGCAUAC
rnacentral:rRNA from 1 species